CCUACGGGAGGCAGCAGUGGGGAAUUUUGGACAAUGGGCGCAAGCCUGAUCCAGCAAUGCCGCGUGAGUGAAGAAGGCCUUCGGGUUGUAAAGCUCUUUUGUCAGGGAAGAAACGGUGGGGGCUAAUAUCCCUCGCUAAUGACGGUACCUGAAGAAUAAGCACCGGCUAACUACGUGCCAGCAGCCGCGGUAAUACGUAGGGUGCAAGCGUUAAUCGGAAUUACUGGGCGUAAAGCGUGCGCAGGCGGUUUUGUAAGUCUGUCGUGAAAGCCCCGGGCUCAACCUGGGAAUUGCGAUGGAGACUGCAAGGCUUGAAUCUGGCAGAGGGGGGUAGAAUUCCACGUGUAGCAGUGAAAUGCGUAGAGAUGUGGAGGAACACCGAUGGCGAAGGCAGCCCCCUGGGUCAAGAUUGACGCUCAUGCACGAAAGCGUGGGGAGCAAACAGGAUUAGAUACCCUGGUAGUCCACGCCCUAAACGAUGUCUACUAGUUGUCGGGUUUUAAUAACUUGGUAACGCAGCUAACGCGUGAAGUAGACCGCCUGGGGAUACGGUCGCAAGAUUAAAACNCAAAGGAUUGACGGNUGAGACGNGCGACGACGACGACGAGGGAGGAGG
rnacentral:rRNA from 1 species